AGGAAUUUCCCAAAAUCAGAAAUGAGAUUAGCCCAGAAAGAAAUGAGGCAAAACAGAGAGUGUGGGGUUUUGUUUCAAGAAGGUUGCCCCUCUCUGCUCCGCUGUUGAUUUUCCUCUAUUCACUGAAAAACUAACAACCUUGUCAUGGAAAUAACAGAAACAAGAAUUGAAAAUUGUAACUAAACAAUAUUGCUCCUCCUAGUACUACUGUAUAUCUUUCUUUCCUCUGUGUGUUGUUUUUUUGGUGUUUAUGGAAGGUACAUAAAGAGGCAAUGAUGAUGAUGUUUUUCUAUCUGGGCUAACUAAUUCGGGCAUGGAGAUUAUCUGACCCGUAUCUUGGCUUGGCAACGUGGUAUAGCCUGUGCCUUAGACUUCCCUCUCUCACAUGCUGCUAUACCUGCUGAAUGAAAUCAUUGAUCCAAUUCUCAGUCAAUAAGUAGGUGUUUCAACUUCUGGGAAUCAAACCCUGGUCUCUUGAGUUAGAGCCAAAUAUCCUAGCUGACUAGACUACAAUGGAAAAACAAGGCAAAAUGAAAGAGGCUGUGAUGAUAAUUCGUGUACACAUGGUUUUGGGAUUGAGUAAAAGAGGCUAGCUUCUUGGCGUGGCAACCCGAUUUGUAGGUGCUUUGAGGUCACAUGCAACUUGGGUUGCAGCCAUGGCGGUUCUGCUCAUUUUCUAGUGCUAGAGUACAUAUCUGAGCUUCCUUCAUAUUCUAGGUUGUGUUGACCUUCUUGGCUCUAAAAGGUACAGUGGUAAAUGGACAUCCUAUCAAAACGAUCCUGUUUAAAUUAAGCUGGAAAUGUGUUUGUAUUCUUGAAAACAUAUGCUUUAUACUAUGGCUUAUCAGCAAACUUAAAGGAUUAUUUUGAACCUAACCUCGAACAUAAGGGACCAUUUUUGUCAUUUUCUCCUUUAUCCUUUAAAAAUGUUUCUCUUCUGAUUCUCCUUUGGCACGCAGCAAAAAGCUAAAAGCUCAGAGAAAAAGAAUGAGGGUUGCAGUGAGUAGAGGGGAAAGUUCAAAAGGCUAUUGCUCCUCUUUGCACUGCCUGUGAUUUCAUUUUUUGCUGAUUUUUUUUUUCAACAGCCCCUUUCCGGUUAACCAGUACCAAACGACCCCUAAAGUAUUUGCUUGUUCUCCAAUGUGAGAAUCAUAUAGUAAUAAUAAUUGUAGCGAAAUUCUGAGGCCGUGAUGAUCAUUUUCUUCUUAAAUUCUCUGAGCAAAUCAAUUAGGGAGGAGAGUAAUUGGACCCGUAUCUUGGCAGCGCGACCCGGAUGGCAGGUGAACUGCAACCGGUGCUUGCGGGCAUAGUGGUGAUUCCAGUCUCUCUUCCCUAUCGUAAGUAGAUCUGAGCCCCAAUGUUUGAUUUUUCUUAAAAAGGAUAGCCCUAAAAAGAAGACAUGAGGCAGAACAGAGAUCAUUGGGAUUCUUUUUGAAGGGUGGUUGCCACUCUCUGUUCCGCCAUUGAUAUUUCUCCAUUUUCAAACAACGAACAGCCCUUGUAAAAACAGAACCAUACAGGAUUUAAGUCAUAUAUACCGUCGGUCGCCUAUGUGUGUGUGUGUAUUUUGUAUUUUUGGGUGUGAUGGAAGGUUUGUAAAGAGGCAGUGAUGAUGAUGAUGUUUCUAUAUCUGGGUUAACCGAUCCGGCAUGGAGAUGACCCGACCCAUAUCUUGGUGUGGCAACCCGGUAUGGCCUGUGACUGAGACUUCUGUUUCGCACAUGCAACCGGUGUUUGCAGCCAUGGUGUAGUUGGCUUCUCUUUUGCCUUAUCAUAACACUCAUCUGACCUCAUUUGAUUGAAAAGAAAGGGAAAAAAAGAACCUUUUUAAAAAGUAAAAAAUAAAAAAGAUUCUUUUCCUGGGUUCAAUAAUGGGAUAUGCUGAACGUGCAACUUUCCGAGGCUCCUCUUGGUUAUUGAUUCAUUGAUCUGAUUAUAUGCAAAGGAUGUGUGUGUGUGUGUGUGUUUAUUUUAUGUUGUUCAUUCUUGGCUGUGUUUUCAACAGUGUACAAAUACAAAACUGUGUUUGUAAAAAGAAACACGCAAAAGGAAGUUUAGAAAGAGAGGCUAUGGUGACAAUUCUAAUGGGCACAUGGAAGUUGGCACUGAGUUUAAGAGGCCGUUCUUGGAGGGCAACCUGGUUUUGUAGUUUGCAUACACAGUGGAAAACCUAUUACAUGUCUGCGUUGAAAUUUCAGCUCUGAAGAAUGAGGCAUCGGAGAAAUUGGUAUUUUCUGUAAAGGGUGGUUGCCCAUCUCUGCUUUGCCGGUGAUUUGUUUCUAAAAAACCAACGGCCCUCUGAAAUAAUCAAGAAAAACAUAUAGAAACUUCAUCCAAACACCCCCCUAUACUCUGCUUGUUCUUUCUCUUCCUCUGUCUCUUUGUGCUGCUGCUGCUACUACUAAUGUUGUAGAUGGGCUGUGAUGAUUGCUUUCCUCUAUGGGCUAUGCUCAACAAUCAUGGCAUUUAGGGAAUAUCUGAUCCGUAUCUUGGCAGGGCGACCCGGUUACGGCUUUGAAUAGCAAACUGGUGUCUGCAGCCAUGGCGGCGUCGCUCUUCUCUUUUGCUUUGUUCAAAUACAGCAAAUCUGAGCCCUCAAUAACCCAUUCAGGUCGGAAAACCCAUUAUGGGUUUAAGUUGAAAUUUAAGCUCUGAAGAAUGAGAUAUCAGAGAAUUUGGGAUUUUCUGUAAAGGGUGGUUGCCCAUCUCUGCUUUGCCAGUGAUUUCUCCAUUAAUGGACCGAAAAAACCAAGAGCCCUUUGAAAUAAACAAGAAAAACAGAAGCUUCGUACCAAACACCCCUACUCUACUUGCUCUUCCUCUGUCUCAUUGUGCUGCUGCUGCUGCUACUUUCCUAAAGGGGCUAUGAUGAUUUCUUGGUUCCUUUCUGGGCUAUGUUCAAUCAUGGCAUUGAGAAAAGCCUGACCCGUAUCUUGGCAGGGCAACCCGGUUACGGCUUUGAAUGGCAAACUAGUGUCUGCAGCCAUGGCAGCGUCGCUCUUCUCUUUCGCUUUAUUAAGAAAUACGGCAAAUCUGAGCCCUCAAAUAAUCAUGUUCUUUGAUCGUGAGUCCAUUCUCGGUCGGAAAUUUCCCCAGAAAUGGAAAAAUGGUUAUCCCAGAAAUGAGGCAAAACAGAGAGUUUGGGAUUUUCUUUGAAGGGCAAUUGACCCUCUCUGUUCUGCCAUUGAUUUUCCUCCAUUAUCAAACAACCAACAGCCCUUUGUUUUAUGAGAAAGCAACAAUAUACCCAGUGGGAUUCGGGAACGGUGGGGUGUAUUUAGGUCUUACCCCUAGGUCUUACCCCUACCUUUGCGGGAUAGAGAGGCUGUUCCAAUAGACCCUGGCUCAAGAAAUAGCAUUUUCAAAACAUUUUUGAGUGUUUUAUGAGAAAAGCAAAAGAGAAAAUGGAAAAUUAACUUAUAUACAAUCUUGCUUGUGUGUGUGUUUUCAGUGUUUGAUGGUAGGUACAUAUAGAGGCAGUGAUGAUGGUGUUUCUAUGUUUGGGCUAACCGACUCAGGCAUGGAGAUAACCCGACCUGUAUCUUGGCGUGGCAAUCCUGUAAGGCCUGUGAUUGAGACUUCUCUCUCCCAUGCAACCGGUGGUUGCAGCCAUGGCGUGGUUGGCUUCUCGUCUGUGUUAUCAUAACAUACAUCUGAGCCCCAUUUGCUUGAAAAGAAAGAGGAAAAAAAAUAGAAUCUUUUGCAUAAUCCAAUGUUGGAAUAUGUUGAACCUGCGAUUUUCUGCUACAAGCUAUAAAUCAUCUUGCAGUCCUAAUGUAUCAUCAUAUUUGUUCAGUUUUAGCUGAGCAUAGCCUAGAAAGAAAGAAGAAUGAGGGAUCAAAGAGAUUGAGAUUUUCUGUAAAGGGUGGUUGGCCCUCUCUGAUAUGCCCAUGAAUCCUCCAUUGAUAACCAAAGAGACCAGCCCUUCUAAAUGAACAAGAAAAUAAUUUUUUAAUUUUUUGAUGAGGAAUGGUCAUUUAAUGGAUCUUAAUGGGUUAGCCAGGGACAUUGAUUGUGAUCAUGUUGGCACAUAUUUAACCAGCUUUGUUGAUGAUGGCACUGUUGUACUCCCUUGCACGCAGAACAAUGCUCGAAUUGCUUAAAGAUGGUGGUUUUGCAAUAUCCAAUCCAGAAAUUGACACAAUCCUUCAAGAAUUCAGAGAGAAUAUAAUAUCCGCCCUUAUCAAUGAGGUCAGUUGUUUUAUCAAGGAAGCUACAUAUUUGAUCUCUGCUCUACUUCCAAGGAGCAACCAUUCCCUUGUUUCCUUCCUACUUCUCACGAUAAUAACACAAACACAAUAGAAGAUUGCAGAAAGAAAAUAUAGUCAAUUCUAUUAAUGAAAAAAAUGUUUCAUUGUUACAAUUAAUGAUGUCUACAAGUAAGCACUUCAAAACUGAUGCUGAAACUUCAAUUGAUUUUCAGCCAUAUGCCCUUCAUUCCACCACCCUAAAUGUUUUGCCCUCUUUAUAAACACAAGUUCUACUAGUGAAGCUACAAGUUGAGCAUAGCCUAGAAAGGAAGAAGAAUUGAGGCAUCAGAGAAAUUGGGAUUUUCUGUAGAAGGGUGGUCUCCCCUCUCCGCUUUGCCAGUGAUUUCUCCAUCGCUGACCAAAAAAAACCAACAACCCUUUGAAAUAAACAAGAAAAACAAAAACUUCAUGCCAGAAACAAACCACUAUACUCUUCCUUUUUCUCCACUCUUUGUGCUGCUGCUGUUGCUAGUUGCUACUGAUGUGUUGUAAAUGGGCUAGGCUAUGUUCAAUCAUGACAUUGAGAAAAAUCCAACCCGUAUCUUGGCAGGGCGAUCCGGUUACGGCUUUGAAUAGCAAACUGGUGUCUGCAGCCAUGGUGACGUCGCUCUUCUCUUUUGCCUUGUUAAGAAAUACAGCAAAUCUGAGCCCUCAAUAACCAUUUUGGGUUGUUGAAAUUUGAAGAAAUUGCACGGUUCGCCUUUCAAACGGACUGGUCUUUAAUUUUUGCCCUUCAAAUGCGUUCAGCUUCGAAGAAUGAGGCAUCCGUGAAAUUGGGAUUUUCUGUCAAAGGAUGGUUGCCCAUCUCUGCUUUGCCAGUGAUUUCGCCAUUGAUGACCAACAGACCUUUAAGCAAGGAACAUAAAGAGGUUUAACUAUAUGUGCACUGAGGUAUCUGUGUUUCUUCUGUACAUGUGUGUGUGUUUUUCGGUGUUGAUGAAAGAUACAUAAAGGGGCGUACAUAAAGAGGCAGUGAUGAUGCUUCUAUGUCUGGGCUAACCAAUUUGGGCAUUGAGAUUACCCAACCCGUUUCUUGGUGUGGCAACCCGGUAUGGCCUGUGACUGAGACCUGUCCCUCACAUGCAACCGUGUGUGCAGCCACGGCUUGGUUGGCUUCUCUUUUGCCUUAUCAUAACACAUAUCAGAGCCCUGUCUGCUUGAAAAGAAAAAAUAUAGAAUCUUUUCCGUGAUUCAAUGUUACAAUAUGUAGGACCUUUCUGCUACAAGCUGUAAAUCAUCUUGCAUGUCCUAAUGUAUCAGCAUAUUUGUCCAGUAUCAACUGAACAUAGCCUUGAAAGGAUGAAUAAUGAGGAAUCAGAGAGAUUAGGAUUUUCUGUAAAGGUUGGUUGCCCCUCUCUCCCAUGCCAGUGAUUUCUCCAUUGAUAACCAAAAGAUCAACAGCCCUUUGAAAUAAACAAGAAAAAAGAAAAACAAUAAAAUUUGGAACUGUCUGGCCAUGAGAAUUAUUAGUGAAGCUACAAGGUGAGCCUAGCCAGAAUGAGGCAUCAGAGGAAUUGGGAUUUUCUGUAAAAGGGUGGUUGCCCAUCUCUGCUUUGCCAGUGAUUUCUCCAUUAAUUGACCAAGAAACCAACAGUCCUUUGAAAUAAACAAGAAAAAAAGAAGAAAUUGCACUGUUUGCCCUUCAAAUUGGCUGGUCUUUCACCCCUAUACUCUUCUUGCUCUUCCUCUUUCUCCUGUAUCUGUGCUGCUACUAAUGUUGUAAAUGGCUGUGAUGAUUGCUUGUUUUCCUCUAUGCGCUAUGCUCAAUAAUGGCAUUGAGAAAAAUCCGACCCGUAUCUUGGCAGGGCGACCCGGUUAUGGCUUUGGUAUAGCAAACUGGUGUCUGCAGUGAUGGCGGUGUCGCUCUUCUCUUUUGCUUUGUUCAAAUACAGCAAAUUUGAGCCCUCAAUAACCAUUUCGGUCGGGAAACCCAUUACAGCUUGUUGAAAUUUGAAGAAAUUGCAUGAUUUGCCCUUCAAACGGACUGUUCUUUAAUUUUUGCCCUUCAAAUGGGCUCAGCUUCGAAGAAUGAGGCAUCGGAGAAAUUGGGAUUUUCUGUAAAGGGUGGUUGCCCAUCUCUGCUUUGCCAGUGAUUUCUCCAUUAAUGGACCAAAAAAACCAACAACCCUUUGAAAUAAACAAGAAAAACAAAACCUUCAUACCAAACACACCCCUAUCUCUUUCUCUUUGUGCUGCUGCUGCUGCUACUGAUGUUGGUAGAGGGGCUGUGAUGAUUGCUUGCUUUCCUUUCUGGGCUAUGUUCAAUUACGGCAUUGAGAAAAUGUCAGACCCGUGUCUUGGCUGGGCGACCCGGUUACGGCAUUUGUACAAAAAACUGGUGUCUGCAGCCAUGGCGGUGUCGCUCUUCUCUUUUGCUUUGUUAAGAAAUACAGCAAAUCUGAGCCCUCAAUAACAAUUUCGGGUUGAAAAAUCCGUUAUGGGUUGUUGAAAAUUGAAGAGAUUGCAUGGUUUGCCUUUCAAACGGACUGUUCUUUAAUUUUUGCUCUUCAAAUGGGCUCAGCUUCAAAGAAUAAGGCAUCGGAGAAACUGUGAUUUUCUGUAAAGGGUGGUUGCCCAUCUCUGCUAUGCUAGUGAUUUCACCACUGAAGACCAAAAAAACCAACAGCCCUUCAAACAAGGAACAUAAAGAGGUUUGACUGUAUGUACACUGAGAUAUCUGUGUUUCUUCUGUGUAUGUGUGUGUGUUUUACAGUGUUGAUGUACAUAAAGAGGCAGUGAUGAUGAUGUUCCUAUAUCUGGGCUAACCAAUUCGGACAUCGAGAUGACCCGACCCGUAUCUUGGUGUGGCAACCCGGUAUGGCUUGUGACUGAGGCUUCUGUCUCUACCAUGCAACCGGUGUUUGCAGCCAUGGCGUGGUUGGCUUCUCUUUUGCCUUAUCAUAACACACAUCUGAGCCCCAUUUGCUUGAAAGGAAAAAAAUAGAAUCUUUUCCGUGAUUCAAUGUUGGAAUAUGUAGAACCUUUCUGCUACAAGCUAUAAAUAAUCUUGCAAGUCCUAAUGUAUCACCAUAUUUGUUCAGUAUCAGCUGAACAUAGCCUUGAAAGGAUGAAGAUUGAAGAAUCAGAGAGAUUAGGAUUUUCUGUAGAGGGUGGUUGCCCCUCUCUGCUAUGCCAGUGAUUUCGAUUGAUAACUAAAAAAUCAACAGCCCUUUGAAAUAAACAAGAAAAAGAAAACAAUAAACUUUGGAGCUGUUUGGCCAUGAGAAUUAUUAGUGAAGCUAGUGAAACUAUAAGUUGAGCAUAGCCAGAAUGAGGCAUCAGAGAAAUUGGGAUUUUCUCUAAAAGGGUGGUUACCCCUCUCUGCUUUGCCAGUGUGAUUUCUCCAUUAAUGCACCAAAAAAACCAACAACCCCUUUAAAAUAAACAAGAAAUAAAAAGAAACUGUAUGGUUUGCCCUUCAAAUGCUCUGGUCUUUCACCCUUAUACUCUUCGUUUUUCUCCUUUCCUCUCUUUGUGCUACUGCCACUAAUGUUGUAAAUGGGCUGUGAUGAUUGCUUGCUUUCCUUUCUAGGCCAUGUUCUAUUAUAGCAUUGAGAAAAAUAUGACCCUUAUCUUGGCAGGGCGACCCUGUCACGGCUUUGAAUAACAAACUGGUGUCUGCAGCCAUGGCAACGUCUCUCUUCUCUUUUGCUUUGUUCAAAUACAACAAAUCUGAGCCCUCAACAACCCAUUCGCGUCGGAAAACGUUUGCGUGGGAAUUUCAGCUCUGAAGAAUGAUUCUCUUAGUAGGCAUUUGGCCAUAGAUUCCAAAUAUUUUCACUAAAAGCUGAGAGGAAAAGAAUAAGGGUUGCAGAGAGUGGAGGGGAAGUUCAAGGGGCUGUUGCUCUUCUCUGCAAUACCCGUGAUUUCAUUUUUGCUGUGGAAAAAAUAAAUUCAACAGCCCUUUUACAGUUAAACAGUAACCAAACGACCCCUGAAGCUUUUUUUUUUUUUCCCCGCUGAUCAUCUUCAAAUUCUCCCUCCCAAAAGGAGAAUCAAUAGUAACAAUAAUAAUAAUAUUGUAGCAAAAAUUCUGAGGCUGUGAUGAUGAUGUUCUUAUUUCUUUCCCUGAGCGAAAUCGAUAGGACAGGAGAAUAAUUGGACCCGUAUCAUGGCGGGGCAACCCGGAUGGCAGGUGAGCUGCAACCGGGCUUGCAGCCAUGGCAGCGGUUCCAAUCUCUCUUACCGUAUCAUAAGUAUUACAGAUCUGAGCCUCGAUGUGUAAUUUUUUUUUACGGAAAAGGGUCAAAUAUACCCCCGUACUAUCAGAAAUAGUUUAAAUAUACCCCUCGUUAUACUUUCGGUCCAAAUACACCCUUUCCAGAAUUUGUCCUUGAGUUUGAGGAGGGAUACAUGUUGGGCUCAGAAUCAAAUGACCCACCCCAAUUUUAAAUAUCUGAUUCCUUUAGAAACCCACUCAUUUAAUCCGACCGUACCCAUUUUCUUUUCUUCUUCUUGUAAAUACAGCUGGGAGAUGACCCGACACGUAUCUUGGCCGGGCAAGCCGAGCGGCAGGUGACCUGAAACCGGUGUUUGCAGCCAUGGUGGUGUCUUCAAUCUCUUGCUGUAUGGUACUUAUUACGAGAAAAAGCCCAAAAUCAUCCCUUAUCUUUGAGCUUAGACUCAAAGUCAUCCUUUGUUUUUUCAUAUGGAGCACUAAUAGUACUCAUCUUUACAAUUUUGGUGCACUUUUAGUCCAAGAGAGAGAAGUCUUGGGAAGCCUCAAUGUUUGAUUUUCUUAAAUGCAGCUGGGAAAUUCGCAUACAUGAGAAUUUCCUUGUGUGUUUACUGUGUUGAUGGAAUGUUUCUAUAUCUGCGCUAACCAAUGCGGGCAUCAGAUGACCCAACCCGUAUCUUGGCGUGGCAACCGGUAUGGCUUGUGACUGAGACUUCUAUCUCUCACAUGCAACCGGUGUGUGCAGCCAUGUUGUGGCUGGCUUCUCUUUUGCCUUUUCAUAACACACAUCUGAGCUCAGUUGCUUGAAAGGAAAACCAAAAAAAAAAAAAAAAAAAACUUUUUCGUGAUUCAAUGUUGGAAUAUGUAAGCUAUAAAUCAUCUUGCAAGUCCUAAUGUAUCACCAUAUUUGUUCAGUUUGAACUGAACAUAGCCUUGAAAGGAUGAAGAAUGAGGAACCAGAGAGAUUAGGAUUUUCUGUAAAGGGCGGUUGCCCCUCUCUGCUAUGCCAGGGAUUUCGAUUGAUAACCAAAAAAUCAACAGCCCUUUGAAAUAAACAAGAAAAAGAAAAACAAUAAAAUUUGGAGCCGUUUGGCCAUGAGAAUUAUUAGUGAAGCUACAAGUUGAGCAUAGCCAGAAUGAGGCAUCAGAGAAAUUUGGAUUUUCUGUAAAAGGGUGGUUGCCCCUCUGCUUUGCCAGUGAUUUCUCCAUUAAUGAACAAAAAAACCAACAGCCCUUUAACAACGAACAUAAAGAGGUUUGACCGUGUUACACUGAGAUAUCUGUGUUUCCUCUGUGUAUGUGUGUGUUUUACGGUGUUGAUGAAGGUACAUAAAGAGGCAGUGAUGAUGAUGUUUCUAUAUCUGGGCUAACCAAUUCGGGCAUGGAGAUAACCCACCUGUAUCUUGGUGUGGCAACCCGAUACGGCCUGUGACUGAGACUUCUGUCUCUCGCAUACAACCGGUGUUUGCAGCCAUGGCGUGGUUGGCUUCUGUUUUGCCUUAUCAUUACAUCUGAGCGCCAUUUGCUUGAAAAGAAAGAAAGAAAAAGAAUCUUUCCAUGAUUCAUUCAUUUGUCCUCACUGGCUGUGUUCCAAAGCAAUGAACUGGAAAAGGGGAAACAACAGGGCUGUGAUGACAAUGUUAGCUAAUUAAAAGAAGUAACAAUGGAGGUUGAGCCCAGAAGGAAGAAUGAGGCCAACAGGGUAAGAGAGACUUUUAGGAGGGCGGUUGUGCCCUCUGUUUGGCUUAUGAUUUCUCAAUUAUAACAAAAUUAACAGCCCCAUUCUUUCUUUCCUCGAAGGAAACCAAGAAAGUAAAUAAUCUAGCGCCUUCGCCGUCAGGCGUUACUGGAUCUUUAGUCCAAAACUUCCACAAUUUCUUGAAACCUAUAGAAGAUUAACCAUUUUCUGUAUGCAUGUUUCUGCACGAGUAUAUGUGGAUUUGUGCUUAUGUUUCAGGCGUCUUAAUUUGUCCUCACUGGCUGUGAUGAUAAUGUUAGCUAAUUAAAAUCGGGCAUUAGAUUUUUGUUGCCCUGUAUCUUGGCAUGGCAACUUGAAUUUGUGCAAUUUGCAGCCAUGGCAGGUGCCAGAAAACUCGAUGCCUGUGAUACAAAUCUGAGCCUCCAGUUGAUGGCAAAGCAUUAACACUAGUACUAGUAUUACUUGGACUCAGUCUGAGUUAUGAGUUUUUAAUCCAAAGUAUCCUAAUUUCUUGAAAAUUAUGCAACCAUUUUCUCAAAGUGGCAGUGAUGAUAUUUGCUUAUCUAGGCUUCAGGAAUAGAGACAAUUGGACCCAUAUCUUGGCUUGGCAAACCCCAGAUGCUAUGUGAUUUGAGGCUUCUCUUUCACAUGCAACCGGUACUUUUGCAGCCAUUGCGUGGUCUCCUCUUUGCCCCCUUAAUAACUCAGAUCUGAGCCUCGAAAUUGCAAGUGCUUCUUGACAUUGUUUGGUAGAAAUGCGAACUAUAUAUUUUGUUCAUUCAGUCAGUUUUGCUGGUAGGUCCUUUCUUGCUGCUGCUACUGAUGAUUCUCUUAUCUUGCUGCUGCAUGGCUGCCUGAACUGCAUGACUGCCUGAAAACCUAAAGAGCGAGAAUCAUACUAGAAAAAGGUGAAAAAUUGAGGCAGUGAUAUGGUUCUUGACAAAUGGCAUAUUUUGCAUUGAGAUGAUAUUAAGACUCGGUAUCUUGGCAGGGCAAUCUGCUCAAGGUUGCAGCCAUGGCAUUUCUGAGUAAAUACUUGAUCAUAGAGAGAUCUGAGCCUUGUAUCAAGUACUAAUACUCAUAAUCCCUUUUUUUAAUAUUUUCUCCCCCCUCUUUUCUCAGGACUGCAGUAAAUUCACAGCAAGUGAAUGAGAUUUAGAUAAUCCUAUUUGUAUAUAUUAUUUAGAAAUUAUCCACAAUAUUUUGUUACCUGAAAUUUAAUACUUCCCGAGAUGGCCAGAAGGAAGAACGAGGCCAACAGGGGCAGGAGGGACUUCUAGAGGGUGGUUGCCCCCCUCUGUUUGGCCUAUGAUUUCUCCAUUAAUACAACCAACAGCCCUCUUCCUCUUUAUUUAACCAAAUAUCUGGCGCCUUCACCGUUAGGCGUUACUGAAGUCUCAAUCUGAGAUUAGUCCAAAAUUUCCACUGUUACUUGUUAAAUAUGGAAAAGAAUCACCAUUUUCUGAAAGAGGCAGUGAUGAUACCUGCAUAUCUGGGUUAAACCAUCGGGACAUAGAAAUUCUGACCCAUAUCUUGGCUUGGCAAACACCAGAGUGGCUGUGAUACGAGGAUUCUCUUUCACGUGUUGUCGGUUUUGUGCAGCCAUGUUGCGGUCUCUUUCUCUUUGCCUCGUUUGGAACUCGCAUCUGAGCCUCAUUUCCAGUUAGUCCAACUGGACAGCUGGGGAUCAGACACGAGACCUUUGACUGAAACCCAUUUUGUGUUGUUUCAGUAGCUCAAAGAUGAGAGAUCAGAAAGAAAAGGUGAUUUUUUCUUUUGGCAAGAAAUAAACAGCACCCUUUUUUUAUGCCAACCAUUGAUUAGUCUUCAAUGGAAGGACGUUCUCUGGAACUGGGAAUUCAUCAGUUUUGUGUGUUACUG